CUGCUAUGUGUGGGGUUGCCAAUCACUAGACCAGGCUGUCCAGAGCCACAUCCAGCCUCCCCUUGAAUGCGUUCAGUGAUGGGGCAUCCACAACCUCUCUGGGCAACCUGUUCGAGUGCGUCACCAUCCUCUGAGUGAAAAACUUCUUCCUAAUAUCUAACAUAAACAUUCCUUCUCUUAGUUUAAAACCAUUCCCCCUUGUCCUGUCACUAUCCAUCCCUGUAAACAGCCAUUCCCCUUCCUGUUUAUACGCUCCCUUCAAGUACUGGAAGGCCACAAUGAGGUCUCCCCAGAGCCUUCUCUUCUCCAAACUAAACAAGCCUAGUUCCCUCAACCUUUCCUCAUAGGAGAGGUGCUCCAGCCCUCUGAUCAUCUUAGUGGCCCUCCUCUGGACCUGCUCCAAGAGCUCCACGUCCUUCUUGUACUGGGGGCCCUGUACUCCAGAUGGGGCCUCACAAGAGCUGAGUAGAGGGAAAAAAUCACCUCCCUCUCCCUGCUGACCACCCCUUUUUUAUUGCAACCCAGAAAACAGUUGGCCUUCUGGGCUGCAAGUGCACACUGCUGGCUCACGUCCAGCUUCUCAUCUACC
rnacentral:lncRNA from 1 species